GAUGAACGCUGGCGGCGUGCCUAAUACAUGCAAGUCGAGCGAACAGAUGAGGAGCUUGCUCCUCUGACGUUAGCGGCGGACGGGUGAGUAACACGUGGAUAACCUACCUAUAAUACUGGGAUAACUUCGGGAAACCGGAGCUAAUACCGGAUAAUAUAUUGAACCGCAUGGUUCAAUAGUUAAAGACGGUUUUGCUGUCUCUUAUAGAUGGAUCCGCGCCGAAUUAGCUAGUUGGUAAGGUAACGGCUUACCAAGGCAACGAUGCGUAGCCGACCUGAGAGGGUGAUCGGCCACACUGGAACUGAGACACGGACCAGACUCCUACGGGAGGCAGCAGUAGGGAAUCUUCCGCAAUGGGCGAAAGCCUGACGGAGCAACGCCGCGUGAGUGAUGAAGGUCUUCGGAUCGUAAAACUCUGUUAUUAGGGAAGAAAAAAUGUGUAAGUAAAUAUGCACGUCUUGACGGUACCUAAUCAGAAAGCAACGGCUAACUACGUG
rnacentral:rRNA from 1 species